AUUUUUCCUUUCUUAUUUAAAUUUCAUUCCACAUCCUGUCAAACGAAACAUAAAUCUAUCCAAAACACCUAUCCAAAUCUUCCAAAGCUCCCUCCUUGCACAUCCAUCGACACUUCGCAAAGGAAGAAGAAGCCGUCGAGUUAGCAACAUACACAAAGCGAGGAGCACAACACCAAAGUACAGUCAACCAAAAAUAAAUCAUAAGCAAGGUAAAUUUUCCACAAAUGCUCAACGCCAAUUUAAUUACCUACAAGUAUCAUUUGCGCCCUUCAUACUCGCAUUCUUCAUUCUUUUCAUACUCGUGUCCUAUUACUGUUGGUUUGGUAUCAGGCUGAUGACAAAAUGACGUCUAGAUGACAUAAAAUGGACUAACAAGCACCAGACUAGGAUGCAAAUGAUCAUAUGAUUGGAUGAGCAAGCAAAGUUAAAAGAUUAAAAAUGACAUUUUACAGAUAUUAACUAUCGAGACGCCCAAACGUAAUAGUGUCCAUAAAUUGGAUUACUCCACCAUACGUAUAUAUUCAGCUUACAUUAUAACCG
rnacentral:lncRNA from 1 species